rnacentral:tRNA from 1 species
GGCGCAAUAGGUUAGUGGUAGAGUCCCCGCUUCUCAUGCGGGGAGACCUGGGAUCGAUUCCCGGCUGCUUCC